UACGUAGGUGGCAAGCGUUAUCCGGAAUUAUUGGGCGUAAAGCGCGCGCAGGCGGUUUCUUAAGUCUGAUGUGAAAGCCCACGGCUCAACCGUGGAGGGUCAUUGGAAACUGGGGAACUUGGGUGCAGAAGAGAAAAGCGGAAUUCCACGUGUAGCGGUGAAAUGCGUAGAGAUGUGGAGGAACACCAGUGGCGAAGGCGGCUUUUUGGUCUGUAACUGACGCUGAGGCGCGAAAGCGUGGGGAGCA
rnacentral:rRNA from 1 species